UAUCUCUGUAGAGUCUGCAUAUCAAUAAGCGGAGGAAAAGAAACUAACUAGGAUUCCCUCAGUAACGGCGAGUGAAGCGGGAAGAGCUCAAAUUUGAAAUCUUCAAGGUUCUACCUUGACGAAUUGUAGUUUAAAGAAGUGUUUUCUGUUGAAGUUUUGGUAAAAGUUCUUUGGAAUAGGACAUCAUAGAGGGUGAGGAUCCCGUAUUUGACCAUUAUUUCCAGCUUUGUGAUACACUUUCAAAGAGUCGGAUUGUUUGGGAAUGCAGUCCAAAAUGGGUGGUAAAUUUCAUCUAAAGCUAAAUAUUGGCGAGAGACCGAUAGCGAACAAGUACCGUGAGGGAAAGAUGAAAAGAACUUUGAAAAGAGAGUUAAACAGUACGUGAAAUUGUCAAAAGGGAAGCGUUUGACACCAGUGUUGUUUUCUUGAAAAUCAAUUAAAAAAGAUUGGAUUUUGUGUUGUAUUGACUUUAUCAGCUUUCUGCACUUUUUUCUUGUCUUUUUUAAUGCACUUUUCGUUUAACAAGUCAACAUCAAUUUCUUUUGUUGUAAAAGGAGUCAUUGGAAGGUGGCUUUCACUUCGGUGAAAGUGUUUAUAGCCUUUGACUUCUGCAAUCGGAGAGAUUGAGGUCUGCAGCGUAGAUCCUUCGGGGUUAGAUACAUUUGUGCUAAGCUAUAGCCUUGUAUAGACAACUUGUUGACUAUGCUCAGUCAUGUAGCUUACUCGCUUAUGCUAUUUUACCUACGCUUAGGAUGUUGAGUAGCGACAUACGCAC
rnacentral:rRNA from 1 species